UUAAGUUCAGCGGGUAGUCCUACCUGAUUUGAGGUCAAAUUUGUCAAUUGUUGUUGUUAUAAGCAGCACUCCUGUUACCAAAGGCAUAGAUAAAUUAUCACACCAAUAGCAGCUCAGAUACCACUAAUGCAUUUCAGGGGAGCUGGCUUCAAAAUUUAAAGCCUGCAAAAAAUUACCCCCACAUCCAAGCCACAUCGAAA
rnacentral:misc_RNA from 1 species